ACAGUUUUAACUGAUGCUCUGAUAAACAAAUGUUAUCCUGUCUUUUUGCCUAACUCACUUGUUACCUAGAUGCUUUGUCAGUCAGGGCUUUGCACUUGUUCAUAGAAUUUUAUUGUAACGGAUAGGAAGUAUUUCUUUGCUGCUUCUGGCGUAUGUCUACUGUUUGGUUUAUUCAGCUUGAAAAAAUAGUUGUUUGGAUUUUAAAAAUGAAAUAAAAUAAAGGGCAUUUGAACUCUAAUCAAAGUCAAAUGCUAAAUUCAUGUUUCAGUUAUAUGACAUGAUGAUGGCCUGUCAUUGUAGGCUUCUUUCAGAUGAUGAUUCAUCAUAAGCUCCAGUGAGUUCAAUGGGAUUUCAAUACAUGUGCACAGGACUGCAGCUAUGCAGGACAAUUUUAUGUCUCACCAUAUUCAGUGGGGCUUACUUCCAGCUUUGAAAACCCCUUUCACUUGGUGUGUCAUUCAGUACGGUAGCUUUACACAUGAAACAAAAUGGGAAUGUAUAAUGGUGGCAGCAACUUUUUAAAAGUCAAAGAGGAUACCACCCUCUAUCUGAACGUCGCUCCAGCCCAAGUCCAGUUUAAUCAUGUAUUUUUAAAGAUAAGAAAGGGUUGCCUGUGGACAGUUAGCAGCACCUGGACAGCAGACUGAGAAGUUGCACAUGUCACCUGGUCAAAGUCUUCCCCAUUAUGCAAAGCUUAGAUUUGCCACCAGGAAUGAAAUGUCCAGCCAGCCUAUGCAUUUUAUAGGGAGAGGACUACGAAUGAGUUCUGCUGGGAGAAACUAGGAUUACAGCGCCUGCUCACAGACCAAGAAAACUAAAGAAACAGCUGAGAACAUUCUCCUGUUAAGGAAAGACUGCUCUGGCCAUGAACCUGAGGGCUGUAGCAUUAUUGCACUAUGAGUGGGACAGGCCAAAUUCCUUCCAUUCCUACCGAUAGCUUGGCAGCUCUGGCUCCAGUUUAUUCUUUUUUUUGUUUCCAAAGGAAGUUGCUACCUAAAAGAACAAUUCUCUUUGUGGGAAAUGUUUAUAAUGUGCUCUGUUGUUAAGAGUAGUUACGAUCUGGACAACAUUACCAAGCAGAAAUUCUCUGUGAGGUUUUGUUUGUACAGUGCAGAGAGAAUGUAGGAGGAAAUAAUUAAUUUCAAUGAAGCAAAACACCUACUAAGGACAAGUAGUUAAUAUUCCCUAAAAUUCCACUUAGUAUUCUAAUAAGAAAUUAUCUUGGCUCCCUGGUGUGUUCUUGCAAGAAACACUUCUGUCCCCUUUGAAUGUUCCCAUAUAUAUUGAUUUAUGGAGCAAGUACAUGCAACUAGAAAGAGGAAUAAAAAAACAUGUUUUCCUGCUGAAAUAUUAUUUUGUGUCCAUAUGUGUGCCUGUGAAUGGGAGGAGAAUCAAGAUGUGCUUUUAAUGAAGAUGCUUUAUUGAUUGUCAUAGAUUAUUUCCCCUAUAAUUUGGAUAUGCCUGAAUCAAGCCUUGCAGGAUGUUAUGUAUAUCUGUAAUUAGGAAGUGUCCCAGAUUCACAGGAAAUCAAACUGUUUUGCAUUUUCGUUUCUCCGGGGGAAGAUUCUUUAAGCAAUUCUUGAGAACCUAACAAUUUGGAAAAUAAAAACAAAAUGACA